rnacentral:rRNA from 1 species
UUAAGCGACUAAGCGUACACGGUGGAUGCCCUGGCAGUCAGAGGCGAUGAAGGACGUGCUAAUCUGCGAUAAGCGUCGGUAAGGUGAUAUGAACCGUUAUAACCGGCGAUUUCCGAAUGGGGAAACCCAGUGUGAUUCGUCACACUAUCAUUAACUGAAUCCAUAGGUUAAUGAGGCGAACCGGGGGAACUGAAACAUCUAAGUACCCCGAGGAAAAGAAAUCAACCGAGAUUCCCCCAGUAGCGGCGAGCGAACGGGGAGCAGCCCAGAGCCUGAAUCAGUGUGUGUGUUAGUGGAAGCGUCUGGAAAGGCGCGCGAUACAGGGUGACAGCCCCGUACACAAAAAUGCACAUGCUGUGAGCUCGAUGAGUAGGGCGGGACACGUGGUAUCCUGUCUGAAUAUGGGGGGACCAUCCUCCAAGGCUAAAUACUCCUGACUGACCGAUAGUGAACCAGUACCGUGAGGGAAAGGCGAAAAGAACCCCGGCGAGGGGAGUGAAAAAGAACCUGAAACCGUGUACGUACAAGCAGUGGGAGCACGCUUAGGCGUGUGACUGCGUACCUUUUGUAUAAUGGGUCAGCGACUUAUAUUCUGUAGCAAGGUUAACCGAAUAGGGGAGCCGAAGGGAAACCGAGUCUUAACUGGGCGUUAAGUUGCAGGGUAUAGACCCGAAACCCGGUGAUCUAGCCAUGGGCAGGUUGAAGGUUGGGUAACACUAACUGGAGGACCGAACCGACUAAUGUUGAAAAAUUAGCGGAUGACUUGUGGCUGGGGGUGAAAGGCCAAUCAAACCGGGAGAUAGCUGGUUCUCCCCGAAAGCUAUUUAGGUAGCGCCUCGUGAAUUCAUCUCCGGGGGUAGAGCACUGUUUCGGCAAGGGGGUCAUCCCGACUUACCAACCCGAUGCAAACUGCGAAUACCGGAGAAUGUUAUCACGGGAGACACACGGCGGGUGCUAACGUCCGUCGUGAAGAGGGAAACAACCCAGACCGCCAGCUAAGGUCCCAAAGUCAUGGUUAAGUGGGAAACGAUGUGGGAAGGCCCAGACAGCCAGGAUGUUGGCUUAGAAGCAGCCAUCAUUUAAAGAAAGCGUAAUAGCUCACUGGUCGAGUCGGCCUGCGCGGAAGAUGUAACGGGGCUAAACCAUGCACCGAAGCUGCGGCAGCGACGCUUAUGCGUUGUUGGGUAGGGGAGCGUUCUGUAAGCCUGUGAAGGUGUGCUGUGAGGCAUGCUGGAGGUAUCAGAAGUGCGAAUGCUGACAUAAGUAACGAUAAAGCGGGUGAAAAGCCCGCUCGCCGGAAGACCAAGGGUUCCUGUCCAACGUUAAUCGGGGCAGGGUGAGUCGACCCCUAAGGCGAGGCCGAAAGGCGUAGUCGAUGGGAAACAGGUUAAUAUUCCUGUACUUGGUGUUACUGCGAAGGGGGGACGGAGAAGGCUAUGUUGGCCGGGCGACGGUUGUCCCGGUUUAAGCGUGUAGGCUGGUUUUCCAGGCAAAUCCGGAAAAUCAAGGCUGAGGCGUGAUGACGAGGCACUACGGUGCUGAAGCAACAAAUGCCCUGCUUCCAGGAAAAGCCUCUAAGCAUCAGGUAACAUCAAAUCGUACCCCAAACCGACACAGGUGGUCAGGUAGAGAAUACCAAGGCGCUUGAGAGAACUCGGGUGAAGGAACUAGGCAAAAUGGUGCCGUAACUUCGGGAGAAGGCACGCUGAUAUGUAGGUGAAGCGACUUGCUCGUGGAGCUGAAAUCAGUCGAAGAUACCAGCUGGCUGCAACUGUUUAUUAAAAACACAGCACUGUGCAAACACGAAAGUGGACGUAUACGGUGUGACGCCUGCCCGGUGCCGGAAGGUUAAUUGAUGGGGUCAGCGCAAGCGAAGCUCUUGAUCGAAGCCCCGGUAAACGGCGGCCGUAACUAUAACGGUCCUAAGGUAGCGAAAUUCCUUGUCGGGUAAGUUCCGACCUGCACGAAUGGCGUAAUGAUGGCCAGGCUGUCUCCACCCGAGACUCAGUGAAAUUGAACUCGCUGUGAAGAUGCAGUGUACCCGCGGCAAGACGGAAAGACCCCGUGAACCUUUACUAUAGCUUGACACUGAACAUUGAGCCUUGAUGUGUAGGAUAGGUGGGAGGCUUUGAAGUGUGGACGCCAGUCUGCAUGGAGCCGACCUUGAAAUACCACCCUUUAAUGUUUGAUGUUCUAACGUUGACCCGUAAUCCGGGUUGCGGACAGUGUCUGGUGGGUAGUUUGACUGGGGCGGUCUCCUCCUAAAGAGUAACGGAGGAGCACGAAGGUUGGCUAAUCCUGGUCGGACAUCAGGAGGUUAGUGCAAUGGCAUAAGCCAGCUUGACUGCGAGCGUGACGGCGCGAGCAGGUGCGAAAGCAGGUCAUAGUGAUCCGGUGGUUCUGAAUGGAAGGGCCAUCGCUCAACGGAUAAAAGGUACUCCGGGGAUAACAGGCUGAUACCGCCCAAGAGUUCAUAUCGACGGCGGUGUUUGGCACCUCGAUGUCGGCUCAUCACAUCCUGGGGCUGAAGUAGGUCCCAAGGGUAUGGCUGUUCGCCAUUUAAAGUGGUACGCGAGCUGGGUUUAGAACGUCGUGAGACAGUUCGGUCCCUAUCUGCCGUGGGCGCUGGAGAACUGAGGGGGGCUGCUCCUAGUACGAGAGGACCGGAGUGGACGCAUCACUGGUGUUCGGGUUGUCAUGCCAAUGGCACUGCCCGGUAGCUAAAUGCGGAAGAGAUAAGUGCUGAAAGCAUCUAAGCACGAAACUUGCCCCGAGAUGAGUUCUCCCUGACCCUUUAAGGGUCCUGAAGGAACGUUGAAGACGACGACGUUGAUAGGCCGGGUGUGUAAGCGCAGCGAUGCGUUGAGCUAACCGGUACUAAUGAACCGUGAGGCUUAACCUU